GGCUUCGUGGUCGAGUAGUAAGGACACUUGCUUCUUAACUUGGAGUCCCGGGUUCGAUCCCCGGUCGAGGAGCUA
rnacentral:tRNA from 1 species